AGUAACACGUAAGCAACCUGCCUAUCAGAGGGGAACAACAGUUAGAAAUGACUGCUAAUACCGCAUAUACCUAAGUAUCGCAUGAUACAAUAGGGAAAGGAGAAAUCCGCUGAUAGAUGGGCUUGCGUCUGAUUAGAUUGUUGGUGGGGUAAAGGCCUACCAAGUCGACGAUCAGUAGCCGGACUGAGAGGUUGAACGGCCACAUUGGGACUGAGAUACGGCCCAGACUCCUACGGGAGGCAGCAG
rnacentral:rRNA from 1 species